rnacentral:rRNA from 1 species
CGCGCGAUACAGGGUGACAGCCCCGUACACAAAAGCGCAUGUGUUGUGAGCUCGAUGAGUAGGGCGGGACACGUGGUAUCCUGUCUGAAUAUGGGGGGACCAUCCUCCAAGGCUAAAUACUCCUGACUGACCGAUAGUGAACCAGUACCGUGAGGGAAAGGCGAAAAGAACCCCGGCGAGGGGAGUGAAAAAGAACCUGAAACCGUGUACGUACAAGCAGUGGGAGCACAGGUUUACCUGUGUGACUGCGUACCUUUUGUAUAAUGGGUCAGCGACUUAUAUUCUGUAGCAAGGUUAACCGUAUAGGGGAGCCGGAGGGAAACCGAGUCUUAAUUGGGCGUUAAGUUGCAGGGUAUAGACCCGAAACCCGGUGAUCUAGCCAUGGGCAGGUUGAAGGUUGGGUAACACUAACUGGAGGACCGAACCGACUAAUGUUGAAAAAUUAGCGGAUGACCUGUGGCUGGGGGUGAAAGGCCAAUCAAACCGGGAGAUAGCUGGUUCUCCCCGAAAGCUAUUUAGGUAGCGCCUCGUGAAUUCAUCUCCGGGGGUAGAGCACUGUUUCGGCUAGGGGGCCAUCCCGGCUUACCAACCCGAUGCAAACUGCGAAUACCGGAGAAUGUUAUCACGGGAGACACACGGCGGG